UAUAAUCUUAUUUUUAUCUUACUUAGUACUGUAUCGUCAGACUCAUCACUUAGUACAAUAUCAGACUCAUCAGACAAAGUCGGUGAUUACUUCCUUUAAAAUCUCUGAAGUUGUAUUUUUCUUAUCUGUUUAGAAGUUCUUUCAUCUUGGCUAGGAUGGCUACUAUUUUUCACUUUCGGACGCACAAACAAAAGAAAUAAUAAAGGCCUUUCAGACAAGGAUUUAGCAUUAUACAUUAUCUAUUACAGGAUAUGAAAUAUAGACUUAAAAUUAGUUGGAUAGCUCUGUAAACAAAAGAGUUGACUUGUAAAGUCCAACUUAAUGAAAAAGCAAGAGAAAGAAAGAGUAAGGACGGGAGAACACGAUUUCAAAUCGCAAUUGUGCAAGAUGAGACAAUAUUUUUUAUUAC